ACGAACGCUGGCGGCAUGCCUAACACCUGCAAGUCGAACGAGACCUUCGGGUCUAGUGGCGCACGGGUGCGUAACGCGUGGGAAUCUGCCCUUGGGUUCGGAAUAACAGUUGGAAACGACUGCUAAUACCGGAUGAUGACGUAAGUCCAAAGAUUUAUCGCCCAGGGAUGAGCCCGCGUAGGAUUAGCUAGUUGGUGGGGUAAAGGCCUACCAAGGCGACGAUCCUUAGCUGGUCUGAGAGGAUGAUCAGCCACACUGGGACUGAGACACGGCCCAGACUCCUACGGGAGGCAGCAGUGGGGAAUAUUGGACAAUGGGCGAAAGCCUGAUCCAGCAAUGCCGCGUGAGUGAUGAAGGCCUUAGGGUUGUAAAGCUCUUUUACCCGGGAUGAUAAUGACAGUACCGGGAGAAUAAGCCCCGGCUAACUCCGUG
rnacentral:rRNA from 1 species